GGAGCAGGCUCAAAGAGUGAAUGAGACCGAGUGAAGCAUUUUAAGGUACUGUGUACAGUACGGAAUCCAGGUGCGCGGGGGAGGGGUAGUGUUUAGACAGGAAAGCUCAUGUUUUUGUUACAGUUCUUUGAAACUUCACUUUUAACCUAACUCUCUUAGAGCUCUGUCACCUCCGACCCUGAACUUUUCUUCCAGGGUCUCGGUCUCUCAGGCGGGACGCUUACCGCUCCCUAAAUACCUAGGGCCCUGCUCCGGCUCGGGAAACCUGGAGUGGAGGGUGCUUCCUUGAAGCAUAGCCCGUUUGCCUGCCAAGGGCUUAGCUACACAGCUCUAACCUCGCCCACCACCCCUUCCCUCUUCCCUCCCCUUUCUCCCCUCUCUCUUCCCCUCCUCUCCUCUCCUCCCCUUCCCCACCCCCGUCCAACCGUCAUCCUCAAUUAGAUUUUUUGUUUGUUUGUUUUUUCAGAGGGGAGGCAAAACGAUUAGGAAGGGCGUGCACCGGACUGGUUGGGCGGCAGGGAGGUUUUUUUUAAUCUCUUUUAUUUCAGUGACCGAGCCCAGAUCGGGGAGGUAACCUCACUGUUGCUGCUGCGGUGGGCCGUCUCGCCGAAGCUGUUGGGUCCGGGGCUCCGGUGAUGAGGAUGCGAGGUGCCCCUCUCUAAUGCGGGAGGGGGUGCUGGCCGUGUUCUCGGAUCCCUCGGAGCUGUCCAACGGCUGGCCAGGUGCCAAUCCACACAGGAACUGCAGAGAGGAACGCGAACACCAGGCCUGGUGUCCGUGUUCCUUUUGUCCAUGGAGAAAACAGCCUAUUCUGUUGAGAGAAAUAUCAGAAAUUGCUAUCCAAAGGAAAAUAUGGAUGGGAACGACAAUAAGAAGCCUGAGAGUCUAGAAGCUGCUUUGCCUUCUGAGCCUCCAAAGAGAAGGCGGGGAAGACCACCCAAGAAAAAGGAGGCACAGAUUGGCCCCUUACCUGAAAAGAGACCACGAGGCAGACCCAAAGGAAGCAAAACCAUCAAUACCUCUGGAUCUAUGCUCCAGGUCGAAACUUUGGCCAAGAAGAAGCCAAGAGGGAGACCCCGGAAAUGGGAAAAGGCCCCAGUGGAAGAGGCUGCCAUAAAACCAGAGAAAGAGAAGACCUCUGCAGAUCCCGUGGCAUCAUCCUUAUUCCCUCACGCUCCUACUCACCUGAGACCAAGUGACUGCGAAGCCGGAGAGUCUUAAUUUGAUCCACUGGCCACUUGAAUGAAAUAAAGAGACAAGAUCUCUGUGUAUCUUUGUCACAGCAAUUUCCAAGCCCUGGGGCAAGGCCUCAGUUAGACCGGUUCCCACAAUAGCAGUCUUACGGGAAGAAUACAACUCCUUGCCCCAAGAAAGAGUCUUAGUCUGAAUCUUGCUGCCACUUUCUAAAAUACUCUUUUCACUCUCUCCCUCUCCCUUGGCCUGGACCAGACCCUCAGGCUACAACGUGUACUCUGAGAGGGGUUCAUGUGGGGCUAUGUUGUUCUAUAGAGAAGAAGCAGCGUGGCUCAGUGGAAAGAGCCCAGGCUUGCGAGUCAGAGGUCAUGGGUUCAAAUCCUGACUCCGCCACUUGUCAGCUGUGUGACUGUGGGCAAGUCACUUCACUUCUCUGCCUCAGUUACCUCAUCUGUAAAAUGGGGAUUAAGACUGUGAGCCUCCCGUGGGACAACCUGAUUACCCUGUAUUAUCCCAGCACUUAGAACAGUGCUCUGCACAUAGUAAGCGCUUAACAAAUACCAACAUUAUAGGCUUUUUUUUUUUUUUAGGCAAUGGGCUCCUGGCAUGCUGAGCCCCCUAUGGAGCCCUGGAAGAGAAAAAGGGAAAAUGGGAUACGAGAGCAGGAGAAUGGGAGGCAAGUGGUCUGCCAGAAAUCAGAAAGUGUUCAGAGUAUUUCACUUCAGAGAGCUCUGGGUGAUUUAGGAACAACAGAAAAAUCCCUGUGUUCCAUGUCAGAAUGCAGUGUGGCUUCACUGCUGGGGAAGCUGGCUCAGAUGGAGGACAACUCACCUAUUACCUCCUUCCCUGUUCCCAACCCAUUUUAUCUUAGACUGGUGGGCCAUUCUGUUCUCUCUGCUUGGCUAGGUCCUUUAAUCAAGGUCCUGGGACUGGGCUCAACUUCAAACACCCAACCAAGUUUGACCUCUCUGUUUCUCAGCUGAUUCCCAGCAAUUCUCCUGCGGUCAUUUGUCUUCCCAUGAGUGUUGGCUCACUUCAUUUCUUAGGGUCACCGUGAUUUGAUCUGUCUUGUUGCUUAGCUAUCUUGCUUCUAACCAAACAUCUCAAUCCACUUCAUUGGCAGGGUAAUCACCACCCUCACACACAGGUAAAUAAAAGACAAGUGUAGGAGAGGCAUGGGGCAAAGUUGGGGGGCGGGUGGUAGGGUGGCAGUAGAGGAGGGUAUCAGGCUACUGGAUUUCCUGACUAAAGUUUCUCAUAGGCAAUACCUGUCCACAUUCUCUACUCCAACGUUCCAGAUAGCUAAAUGGGCUUGCAGUUUGCUGCCUUUCUCACAGUGGUGCUUGCAGGCUUGACAGUAUUAUUGCUGUGUGUGUGCCCUCCCUCUAGCUGACUGAAUGUAACAAUACAGACAGGAAUCUUUCCGCCUCACCACCCCCCACCCCCUGCCUCCACUGACUUUGGUUCCUUCUCCUAGAGCACUUGAAUCAUCCACAACCAGGACAGUUGAACUCAGACCUGUGGGGAAAUGCCAAGAUGAGAUCGGUUAGUGUAAAAUAGGGACAGACUAAGGGACUGAGGUGAUCUUGUUGAUAAAUAACCCUUCCUACAGAGAUGUGUCCAUGGAAUCGUUAUGGAGUCGCUAUGGGUCGGAGAAAACUCGACAGCAUAAGACAAGACAAGACAGAGCAGGGGGUGGGUCACUGGACCUCACAGAAAGAUCACUUAGACUUGAGAACCCUGAAAGGGUCUCCCAGGUAUCUUAUGGACCAGUUUUGCCUUUAGGUGGGGUAAAGCCUGGAGGUUUCAGGAUGAGAAGAGGAAGGUAGGAACAGAGCAGUCGAGCCAUCGGCUUGAGACUGGCUUGGGCAAGACAAGGUUGGAAAAGCACAGCCUUGAGGCUACUCCUGGAUAGUAGUGCUUCACUGAGCCCUGCUGGUAUGGCCCAAAUUCAAACACUAGCUACAGUCACAUGCAGCCUGAGGUGCUGGAUAGUCAUGACCCCUACACCUGGGCACCAGCAGACACAGCUGGGUAGUAAAACCCAAGGAUCCUAGGUCACACAUCACUGGUCCAACUCCAAGCCCAUGGCCCCCCUCAGGCUGUGUACUCCCAGCUGAGACAGAAGGUCAGUUUUCUCUCUGCUCACUCCCACUCCUGGAAACCCCUUCUCCUCUCCAAACAUUCAUCGUGAAUAUGGCAUUCUUCCACCCUGGAGAAAAAGAGAGUUUGGGAGCUUGUGACCAUUUCCAAAUUUUUCAUAGUCCCUGCAGUUCUCAUUUUCAAAAACCCAGUCCUUCAUUCUCUCCAUUCUGGUAGACGAGGGAGAAAGCUGUGCAGUGCUAUGUUCUCUUGGAUCUUUUAGGGCCCCUCCAACCUCUCAGAACCAGGCCAGCAGUUCUGGGGUAUGAGCUUUUAAGUUCAAAUGCUCAUCUGGGUAACUUCAGGUUACAGGCACUUGUAAGACAAGUCAGAACUCUGUCAGGUUUACUUAGUGUCUGUGCUGUGGACUAGGAAGAGCUGGGUUCUAAUCCUGACUUUGCCAACUAUCUACUGUGAGACCUUGGGCCAGGCACUUAACUUCUCUGGGCCUCAGUUUCCUCAUUUGUAAAGUGGGAACUCAAUACCCAUUUUCUCUCCUCCUUAUCCUGGGAGCCCCAUGUGGGACAAGGGCUGUGUCUGACCCAAUUAUCCUGAAUCUACCCCAGUGCUCAGUAGAGUGCUUGGCCCAUAGUUAGUACUUAGAUACCACGAUUACAUGAAUUUAUGGAGCCACUCAGACUACUUCUCCAGCUUACAUAGUUACUUCUCCUGUGGUGUUGGCAUGGCUGAGAUACCAUAAAACUCCCCCCUCAUGGAACCACUGGACCACUCCUCUUGUCUGUCAUAUGCACCAUGAAUCUUAGGGGAUGAUCAGAGCUUAGCAGAGCUAAGACUUCUGAAUUUAGACAGGGAGAAUAAUAAUAAUAAUGUUGGUAUUUGUUAAGCACUUACUAUGUGCAGGGCACUGUUCUAAGCGCUGGGGUAGAUACAGGGUAAUCAGUUGUCCCACGUGAGGCUCACAGUCUUAAUCCCCAUUUUACAGAAGAGGUAACUGCGGCACCGAGAAGUUAAGUGACUUGCCCAAAGUCACAGAGCUGACAGGUGACAGAGCUGGGUUAGAACCCAUGACCUCUGACUCCUAAGCCCGUGCUCUUUCCACUGAGCCACGCUGCUUCUCUAGGCUGGAGAAGGCUGGAGUGAUGAGGGCCAGUGGGCAGAAUUCCCACUGAAAGUUGAAUGCUAUGGUGAAGUUCGCUUGCAUGAUUGGGAGAUGCAGCUUGCAUUAGACUCCAUAAUGCAGACUUUCCAUUCACGUCCAGAAUCU
rnacentral:lncRNA from 1 species